rnacentral:lncRNA from 1 species
AGUUCUCCAACCCCAUAAAGUUAGAAUGCAGUCUGUGAGUACUCUCUGCUCUAAUCAAGAAGGAAGGGGCUUCAGCUUCAAAUGUCAAUGCUGUAAACAUGUUAAAUCUGGAAAAUAUUUUCUAAGCAAGCAACCAUGUGUAAAAUUUACCGAACUUGUCAUGAAAGGGCUGCAGCUGCAAACCUGCAAACUUCUCACUUCCAUGAAGACUCCAGAUGCUGAGACAGGGAAGAGAGGUUUCAGCUUGGCUCCCCAGCUGUUGCACCUUAGAGCUUUGCAUGCCGCCAUCUUCUCAGCGUUUCACCAGUUACAGGGAUCACCUGUGUAUUUGCUGGUGGCUGUCUAAUAAAAGAUGUGGGUGUGGAGGAAAUAGAUUUUUAAUCAUCUGAAUGUUAUAGAGAAACAAAUUGCCAAUUUUGUUGAUGCAAGCACGUUCUCAAACAACUUGAAACUACUCCCAAACACCAACAGCCAUGUGAGAAAGAGAUGAAACGCAGUUUGUGGAAAGUAAAUUCUUGAUUAUGUUGGAAUUAAAGGGUACAUACUUUGCUGCACUUUCAAGAACUACAGGUAAGAGACACAACAGUGUUUUACUCCUAUGUCAAACAAAAAGCUGGCAAUUUACUGUGCAAAAUAAACAGAUGGAGAAAAAUAGAAAGGUGGUAUCUCUGCUUUUUAACUAUAUUCCUCAAGGGUCGUCACAAAGAGAGAAGUAAUAAUUAUAGCAACGGAGUGAGUGUUCUCUUGCCCCUUGGAAAGCUUUAUAGACUGGUUGUUUACUGCUAACUUUUGUGAAAGACUAGUUUAAGUAUAUUAAAGCUUUAUGGCCUGAGUGGGAGCCAUUACGUAUGGAAACUGACCUGACCAUUACUUAUAAGCAGGUCAGAGACUGGGAUUCAAGAAAUAACGAUGUUACCAUUGCAAAGACAGAGAACAAAACUCAACUGCAGAGAAGACUGAGAAAUGUAGUCUUCUACAUUUGAAAUAUUACAAAUAUUCUUCUAUACUUCAAAUAUUCCAAAUGUAGUUUUCAUGGAUAUUUGCUGAGCACAAACUACUUUUACUAUGCCCUCCUUCACCUAGAACAUGAUAGGCUUGAUAAACUGUUUCUAGGAGAGGCAGAAUAGAAAAGCAUAUUAGUUUUAAAAUCUGGGCUUUGGAGUGAGGUUAUCCAGGUUUGAAAGCUAGCUACACUA